CCUUUCCUACGGGAGGCAGCAGUGGGGGAUAUUGCACAAUGGGGGGAACCCUGAUACAGCGACGCCGCGUGGGUGAAGGAGCGUUUCGGCGCGUAAAACCCUAUCGGCAGGGAAGAAGAUGACUGUACCUGACCAAGAAGCCCCGGCUAACUACGUGCCAGCAGCCGCGGUAAUACGUAGGGGGCAAGCGUUAUCCGGAUUUACUGGGUGUAAAGGGGGCGCAGCCGGCAAUGCAAGCCCGGAGUGAAAGCCCGGGGCCCAACCCCGGGACUGCUCUUGGAACUGCAUGGCUGGAGGACAGGAGG
rnacentral:rRNA from 1 species